rnacentral:lncRNA from 1 species
CACGAUGUGAUCCACCAGCCAGGAGGGACGCCAACAAGGCAUCCGAUAAGAUAAAUCUUAUAUAAAAUAUAGAUUUAUGAUAAUUAAGACUAAGCUAACAGAUGAGGAAUCCUAGUCAUUGGCCAAGCAUCAUUGAACCUAAUACAAGUUUCUGUGUAUUCAUUUGGGCCUAACUUGAGCAGGCAGCUGGCGUAAAGCACACACGUGGUGGUGGGGCUCAGGCAGUUUAUGGUGGAAAGAUUUAUCUUGAGCCUUCCUCAGACCAACAUCAACCCUGCUGGAGCAACUCCUUGAGCAGCAGCCAAACCUUUGGAGGCCUCAACCUGAGAGACUAGAAAUAAAGAGUGAAGUCAGGGAAACAGAAGAGGAGUGGAUCCAGGGAGAGGAGAUGAUGUUGAAGACGCACAUGGAGACUGGAGUUACAG